UUAGAGUUUGAUCAUGGCUCAGGACGAACGCUGGCGGCGUGCCUAAUACAUGCAAGUCGAACGAGACUUUUUGAUUGAUGCUUGCAUCAGCUAAAAAGCCGAGUGGCGAAUGGGUGAGUAACACGUGGGUAACCUGCCUUGAAGUGGGGGAUAACAUUUGGAAACAGAUGCUAAUACCGCAUAACCACAAAAACCCCCUGGUUUUUGUGUCAAAGAUGGUUCUGCUAUCACUUCAAGAUGGACCCGCGGCGUAUUAGCUUGUUGGUGAGGUAACGGCUCACCAAGGCAAUGAUACGUAGCCGAACUGAGAGGUUGAUCGGCCACAUUGGGACUGAGACACGGCCCAAACUCCUACGGGAGGCAGCAGUAGGGAAUCUUCCACAAUGGACGCAAGUCUGAUGGAGCAACGCCGCGUGAGUGAAGAAGGUCUUCGGAUCGUAAAACUCUGUUGUCAGAGAAGAACGUGCGUGAGAGCAACUGUUCAUGCAGUGACGGUAUCUGACCAGAAAGUCACGGCUAACUACGUGCCAGCAGCCGCGGUAAUACGUAGGUGGCAAGCGUUGUCCGGAUUUAUUGGGCGUAAAGGGAACGCAGGCGGUCUUUUAAGUCUGAUGUGAAAGCCUUCGGCUUAACCGAAGUCGUGCAUUGGAAACUGGGGGACUUGAGUGCGGAAGAGGAGAGUGGAACUCCAUGUGUAGCGGUGAAAUGCGUAGAUAUAUGGAAGAACACCAGUGGCGAAAGCGGCUCUCUGGUCUGUAACUGACGCUGAGGUUCGAAAGCGUGGGUAGCAAACAGGAUUAGAUACCCUGGUAGUCCACGCCGUAAACGAUGAAUGCUAAGUGUUGGAGGGUUUCCGCCCUUCAGUGCUGCAGCUAACGCAUUAAGCAUUCCGCCUGGGGAGUACGAUCGCAAGAUUGAAACUCAAAGGAAUUGACGGGGGCCCGCACAAGCGGUGGAGCAUGUGGUUUAAUUCGAAGCAACGCGAAGAACCUUACCAGGUCUUGACAUCUUUUGCCAGGCUGAGAGAUCAGCUGUUCCCUCCGGGGACAAAAUGACAGGUGGUGCAUGGUUGUCGUCAGCUCGUGUCGUGAGAUGUUGGGUUAAGUCCCGCAACGAGCGCAACCCUUAUUGUCAGUUGCCAGCAUU
rnacentral:rRNA from 1 species